rnacentral:rRNA from 1 species
UACGGGGGGUGCAAGCGUUACUCGGAAUUAUUGGGCGUAAAGGGCGCGCAGGCGGCCAGGUAAGUCAGGUGUGAAAGCCCGGGGCUUAACCCCGGAAGUGCAUUUGAUACUAUCUGGCUUGAGUAUGGGAGAGGGAAGUGGAAUUCCUGGUGUAGAGGUGAAAUUCGUAGAUAUCAGGAGGAACACCGGUGGCGAAGGCGACUUCCUGGACCAAUACUGACGCUGAGGCGCGAAGGCGUGGGUAGCAAACAGG